rnacentral:rRNA from 1 species
UACGGAGGGUGCGAGCGUUGUCCGGAAUCACUGGGCGUAAAGGGCGCGUAGGGGGCGCGGGCAGUCAACGGUGAAAGUUCGGGGCUCAACCCUGAAUCGGCCGUCGAUACUCCCGUGCUGGAGCACUGUAGAGGCUAAUGGAAUUCCGGGUGUAGCGGUGGAAUGCGUAGAGAUCCGGAAGAACACCGGUGGCGAAGGCGGUUAGCUGGGCAGUUGCUGACACUGAGGCGCGACAGCGUGGGGAGCAAACAGG